AUUAAGAAACAGAACCCUUAGACCUAUUUGUUUAAAAUUUUCCUUCUGUAAAUUGUGGGUAAACUUUUUAAGAUUUUCCACCACUAAUUGCAUGAUUAUAAAGAUGUAAAAUCAAUAGGAAAAUAAAUCGAGAACCAGCCACCUAAAAACCUAGAAUCCCAAGUUGAAUAAAUUAUUGGCAAUGGGAAAAUACAUACAGCACCUGCAGAU
rnacentral:misc_RNA from 1 species